UAGUCAUAUGCUUGUCUCAAAGAUUAAGCCAUGCAUGUCUAAGUAUAAAUAGUAUACAGUGAAACUGCGAAUGGCUCAUUAAAACAGUUAUAGUUUAUUUGAUAAUGAACACUAUAUGGAUAACCGUGGUAAUUCUAGGGCUAAUACAUGCUAUAAACCUGACUUUCGGAAGGGUUGUAUUUAUUAGAUAUUAAGCCAAUAGUGGCAACACUAUUGCGGUGAAUUAUAGUAACUGAUCGAAUCUCAGCAAUGAGAUAAAUCAUUCAAGUUUCUGCUCUAUCAGCUUUCGAUGGUAGUGUAUUGGACUACCAUGGCAGUCACGGGUAACGGAGAAUUAGGGUUCGGUUCCGGAGAGGGAGCCUGAAAAACGGCUACCACAUCUAAGGAAGGCAGCAGGCGCGUAAAUUACCCAAUCCUGAUUCAGGGAGGUAGUGACAAGAAAUAACAACCCGGGGACCUUCUGGUCUUACGGGAUUGCAAUGAGGACAAUUCAAAUCACUUAGCGAGGAACAAUUGGAGGGCAAGUCUGGUGCCAGCAGCCGCGGUAAUUCCAGCUCCAAUAGCGUAUAUUAAAGUUGUUGCAGUUAAAAAGCUCGUAGUUGAACUUCUGGCAGUGGCUGGGUGUGGCCUCGGUCAGCCCCGUCACUGUCAUCCGUCUGCAAACCUUGCGCGGCCUUCAGUGGUCGGCAUGGGGAGUAGACAUUUUACUUUGAAAAAAUUAGAGGGUUUCAAGCAGGCAAUUGCCAGAAUACUUUAGCAUGGAAUAAUGGAAUAGGACUCUAGUCCAUUUGGUUGGUUAUUGGAAUGGAGUAAUGAUUAAUAGGGACAGUUGGGGGCAUUAGUAUUUAAUUGUCAGAGGUGAAAUUCCAGGAUUUAUUAAAGACUAACUUAUGCGAAAGCAUUUGCCAAGGAUGUUUUCACUAAUCAAGAACGAAAGUUAGGGGAUCAAAGACGAUCAGAUACCGUCCUAGUCUUAACUAUAAACGAUACCGACUCGGGAUUGUAAAGGUACCUUCGACCUUUGCAGCACCGUAUGAGAAAUCAAAGUCUUUGGGUUCUGGGGGGAGUAUGGUCGCAAGGCUGAAACUUAAAGGAAUUGACGGAAGGACACCACAGGAGUGGAGCCUGCGGCUUAAUUUGACUCAACACGGGGAAACUUACCAGAUCAAAACAGAAGUGGGAUUGACAGAUUGAGAGCUCUUUCUUGAUUGUUUGGGUGGUGGUGCAUGGCCGUUCUUAGUUGGUGGAGUGAUUUGUCUGGUUAAUUCCGUUAACGAACGGGACCUUAACCUGCUAACUAGUCCUGCGGUCCACAACCGUAGGUACUUCUUAGAGGGACUAUGGGAUCUAAGCCCAUGGAAGUUUGAGGCAAUAACAGGUCUGUGAUGCCCUUAGAUGCUCUGGGCCGCACGCGUUCUACAAUGACUUGUGCAGCAAGUACUUCCUGACUCGGCAGAGCUCGGGUAAACUUUGUAAAGCAAGUCGUAUUAGGGAUCGAUCUUUGUAAUUAUAGAUCAUGAACGAGGAAUUCCUAGUAAGUGCAAGUCAUCAGCUUGUACUGAUUACGUCCCUGCCCUUUGUACACACCGCCCGUCGCUCCUACCGAUUUCGAGUGAUACGGUGAACCUCCUGGACUGCUUGUGUCCUUGAGACAUAAGCGGGAAGUUAAGUAAACCUUAUCACUUAGAGGAAGGAGAAGUCGUAACAAGGUUUCU
rnacentral:rRNA from 1 species